GGGGUAGGGGUGAAAUCUUGUGAUCCUCGGGGGACCACCAGUGGCGAAGGCGUCUCACCAGAACGGGUCCGACGGUAAGGGACGAAAGCUAGGGGCACGAACCGGAUUAGAUACCCGGGUAGUCCUAGCCGUAAACGAUGCUCGCUAGGUGUCAGUCACGGUGCGACCGUGAUUGGUGCCGUAGGGAAGCCGUGAAGCGAGCCACCUGGGAAGUAUGGCCGCAAGGCUGAAACUUAAAGGAAUUGGCGGGGGAGCACUACAACGGGUGGAGCCUGCGGUUUAAUUGGAUUCAACGCCGGAAAUCUCACCGGGGGCGACAGCGAUAUGAAGGUCAGGCUGAAGACCUUACCCGAUUAGCUGAGAGGUGGUGCAUGGCCAC
rnacentral:rRNA from 1 species